UUUUUUUUUUUUUUUUUUUGAGAUGGAGUCUCGCACUUUCGCCCAGGCUGGAGUGCAGUGGCACAAUCUCGACUCACUGCAACCUCUGCUUUCCUGGUUCAAGUGAUUCUCCUGCCUCAGCCUCCUGAGUAGCUGGGACUACAGGCAUGUGCCACCACACCCAGCUAAUUUUUGUAUUUUUAGUAAAGAUGGGGUUUCACCAUGUUGGCCAGGAUGGUCUUGAUCUCUUGACCUCAUGAUCCACCCACCUUGGCCUCCCAAAGUGCUGGGAUUACAGGUGUGAGCCACUGUGCCCAGCCAAGACUGGGUAAUUUAUAAAGAAAAAGAGGUGGCUGGGGAGGCCUCACAAUCAUGGUGAAGACAAAGGAAGAGCAAAGGGAUGUCUUACAUAGUGGUGGACAAAGACAGAAUAAGAAUCAAGUGAAAGGGGUUUCCACUUAUAAAACCAUCUGAUUUUGCAAGACUUAUUCACUACCACAAGAACAAUCAUGGGGGGAAAAUCACCCCAUGAUUCAAUUAUCUCCCACUGGGUCCCUCCCACAACAUAUGGGAAUUAUGGGAGCUAUAAUUCAAGGUGAGAUUUUUGUGGGAACCCACCCAAACCAUAUCAUUCCACCCCUGGCCCCUCCCAAAUCUCAUGUCCUCACAUUUCAAAACCAAUCAUGCCUUCCCAACAGUCCCUCAAGUCUUAUCUCAUUUCAGCAUUAACUCAAAAGUCCACAGUCCAAAGUCUCAUCCAAGACAAGGCAAGUUCUUUCUGCCUAUGAGCCUGUAAAAUCAAAAGCAAAUUAUUACUUCCUAGAUACAGUGUAGGUAUAGGUACUGGAUAAACACAGCCAUUCCAAAUGGGAGAAACGGGCCAAAACAAAGGGGCUAAAGGCCCCAUGCAAGCCCAAAAUCCAGCGGGGCAGUCAAAUCUUAAAGCUCCAAAAUGAUCUCCUUUAACUCCAUGUUUCUCUCACAUCCAGGUCACAUUAAUGCAAGAAGUGGGUUCCCAUGGUCUUGGGCACUCUGCCCUGUGGCUUUUCAGGGUACAGCCUCCCUCCUGGCUGCUUUCACAGGCUGUCAUUGAGUGUCUGUGACUUUUCCAGGUGCAUGUUGAUCUACCAUUCUGGGGUCUGGAGGAUGAUGGCCCUCUUCUCACAGCUCACUAGGCAGUGCCCCAGUGGGGACUCUGUAUGGGGGCUUGAACCCCACAUUUCCCUUCUGUACUACUCUAGCAGAAGUUCUGCAUGAGGACCCUGUCCCUGCAGCAAACUCCUGCCUGAUCAUCUAGGCGUUUCUACACAUCCUAUGAAAUCUAGACAGAGGUUCCCAAACAUCAGUUCUUGACUUCUGUGCACCUGCAGUCUCAGUACCAUGUGGAAGCUGCUAAGGCUUGGGGCUUGCACCCAUGGCCCGAGCUGUACCUUGGCCCUUUUGAGCCACAUGUGGAGCAGCUGGGACACAGGGCGCCAAGUCCCUAGGCUGCACACAGCAGAGGGGUCCUGGGCCUGGUCCACGAAACCAUUUUUUCCUCCUAGGCCUCUGGACCUGUGAUGGGAGGGGCUGCCGCAAAGGUCUCUGACAUGCCCUGGAGGCAUUUUCCCCAUUGUCUUGGUGCUUAACAUCUGGCUCCUUGUUACUCAUGCAAAUUUUUGCUGCUAGCUUUAAUUUCUCCUUAGAAAAUGGGUUU
ensembl:lncRNA